CGCGUAGGCGGUCGCCUAAGUCGGACGUGAAAUCCCCAAGCUUAACUUGGGAACUGCGUUUGAUACUGGGUGACUUGAGUUCGGGAGAGGAAUGUGGAAUUCCAGGUGUAGCGGUGAAAUGCGUAGAUAUCUGGAGGAACACCGGUGGCGAAGGCGGCAUUCUGGACCGAAACUGACGCUGAGGAGCGAAAGCCAGGGGAGCAAAACGG
rnacentral:rRNA from 1 species